GGGCGGGUACAGUGGCCGGGUCGUAUCACAGUCGUACGGGGGGAAGCCGGUGCGAAUCCGGCGCUGACCCGCAACCGUGAGCCGUCGGGGAGACGGUGAGCCGGACUGCCCCGUACGGAUCGUGACC
rnacentral:ncRNA from 2 species